UCUCCGUAGGUGAACCUGCGGAAGGAUCAUUAUUGUAUAACCGAGGUGCGAGGGCUGUCGCUGACCCGAAAGGUCGUGCACGCCCGAGUGCCCUCACACACAUCCAUCUCACCCCUAUGUGCACCACCGCGUGGGUCCCCCUUUGGCUUGUUCGGAGGGGGGCUUACGUUUUCACACAAACUUUGUAUGCAGUGUAGAAUGUAUUUUUUGUUUUUGCGAUCACGCAAUCAAUACAACUUUCAACAACGGAUCUCUUGGCUCUCGCAUCGAUGAGGAACGCAGC
rnacentral:misc_RNA from 1 species